rnacentral:rRNA from 1 species
UGACGUACUUGUACUGAUUGAGAUUUUAACACGAAGUGAGUGGCGAACGGGUGAGUAACACGUGGGUAACCUGCCCAGAAGUAGGGGAUAACACCUGGAAACAGAUGCUAAUACCGUAUAACAGAGAAAACCGCAUGGUUUUCUUUUAAAAGAUGGCUCUGCUAUCACUUCUGGAUGGACCCGCGGCGUAUUAGCUAGUUGGUGAGGCAAAGGCUCACCAAGGCAGUGAUACGUAGCCGACCUGAGAGGGUAAUCGGCCACAUUGGGACUGAGACACGGCCCAGACUCCUACGGGAGGCAGCAGUAGGGAAUCUUCCACAAUGGACGCAAGUCUGAUGGAGCAACGCCGCGUGAGUGAAGAAGGGUUUCGGCUCGUAAAGCUCUGUUGUUAAAGAAGAACGUGGGUAAGAGUAACU